rnacentral:misc_RNA from 1 species
UUUUUACAUUAUUUUAACAGAGGUUUACUGAAGUUUCGGGGUUUAAUCCAGAACAACUGUCCACACUCGUUUAAGAAUUCAGUAUCAUUUCCAAGAAAUUAAUCUUGUGGUUUGGUUUUGUUUAAAAUUGGGCAUCCGAAGACACCAUAAAUUUGAUUGUAGUUCCGCGGGGCGCAAAAGUCAGACACUCAUAACUCGGUUUUACCCAAGCCACAAGCAUCCUCCUUCUGUUUUCCUUUCCUUUUCAAACGCAAGCGUUCUCCAAGAAUCAGAAAAUAGCAACUGUGGUAAUGAUCCUUCCGCAGGUUCACCUACGGAAA